GACGAACGCUGGCGGCGUGCCUAAUACAUGCAAGUCGAACGGUGUGGCGCACGGUUGAGUAAUAUAUAGCUAAUCUGCCCCUUGCUGGAGGACAAAAGUUAGAAAUGCCUGCUAAUACUCCAUAGCAAGGGAUGGGACUAUAUCGUAUCAGCUAGUCGGUGGGGUAACGGCCUACCGAGGCUAGGACGCGUAACUGGUCUGAGAGGAUGAUCAGGCACAGUGGAGCUGAGGCACGGUACAAACUCCUACGGGAGGCAGCAGUAGGGGAUAUAGCGCAAUGGGGGAAACCCUGACGCAGCAACGACGCGUGGAGGAUGACACUUUUCGGAGCGUAAACUCCUUUUGUUAGGGAAGCGGUACCUAACGAAUAAGCACCGGCUAACUCCGUGCCAGCCGCCGCGGUAAUUC
rnacentral:rRNA from 1 species